AUUUAAAAUUGCACAUCUUUUAUUUAUUUACAAGCAGCCCAGAACUGCUGACUAUCCAAACAAAUUAUGCAAGAAACAAGCUGGGUUUUGUUGCUUUUUGUUGGUUGCUUUGUUAUUUUUCUUAAUCCUAUAUUACCCACAAUCAAAAAAAAUUUUGUAAAUCUAUGUUGAGACAGGAAAGUGCUAAAACCCCAGAACUGAAUUGCUUGUAUUCAACAAUUGCUGAGUUAGAGGAUUCCUUGUAAAAUACAGUCACAUUAAUUCAUCUUGGAACUGAGAGACGUUUCACAAAAGCUGAAUUCCAGGGGCUAAAUCUCAUAUUCACCAUUACUUAAAUUGGCAUAAAUCUAGAGAAGCUCAAAUUAAGCCUAUGGAGCUACAUCCAAUUUGCACUUGUGCUGCAAAACAGGUUUUGACUCUAGCUAACGUUUCUUGUUCACAGGCAACAGAAAACAAACAUGAGGUAUUCUUGCUGUCUUGGAUGAGACAGUACUUUAUGUAUCAUUUUUAUGUGUAUAUGCUGUCGUAUAACCUAAAUCUUUUCCAAGAGAAUUCAUGCUUUGCCAUUACAGGCAGCUAAGACACUGCCAGAACCUUCCUAACUUCAACAGCUGAGAUGCUAAGUUUAUAAAUAAUUUUAUUUUGUUAUGAUUCUCAGCUAUAUGCUGUGAAAGGAAAAAUUAAGAGCUCAAUCGCUAAUCCUCCAUCUAAACAUUGACUUUACAAAAAGAAAUGACUGAGCAUCCAACUGUAGCCUGUGAACUACCUUGGAGCAUUUAACAGAAGAGUGCAUUGCGGAAGAUUUACCUUUUAAGAAGGAAAUUAGAAAAAAUAAAUUUGCAAACUGAAGUAAUAAAAGCUUACUAUAAACAAUGCAAACAAAAGCAGUAGUUGUCUGUGCCUCUCGAAGUCUUUUACAGAUAGUGCAUUUAGUCUAACUAAAGCAGGCAAAUAAGCUGUCAUGCUCUACGUGUCUUGUUAUUUUUACAUGUUCUACCAAAUGAUAAUAAAAUAAAACAUUGCACUUACUUGUAAAACUCAUGCUUCAGUAAAAAGGGUGCCCAAAAUUUAUUCUCUGCAAGUAACAAAGUUACACUUUAUAUAGAUAUUGUGGAAGGUUUCAGGGAGCCUUCCAAAUGGGGAAUGCCUUAUUGCUAGGAGGUAAAAGAUGGAAAAGUAUCUUCAAAGACAAAACAACUGUAUUUUGUCUCUAAUAACAAGGAAAAACUAGAAGUUGUUUGAAGUCUGCAGUUUAGACAGUUUUAAAAUAAACACUAUUUCUAACAGAAGCUAGCAACUACUUCUGAAUUUAUCAAUAAACUAGUCCUCCAAAGAAGCAUUCCACAUAAACAGAGUUUUUUCAUACUAUAUAAAAGGGCUUAGGAAGUACAAUUUUCCUACAAAAAAAAAAAAAAAAAAAAGAGUAAAGUAGCUUUUCAUUCAGAUCUUGAUAUCCAGCUGCAGAACAUCCAUUUGUCACUUGGCUUCCAAAUCCAAAUUUUGGAAGCUUCUGCCAAUAUCAGUGAGCAGCUGGGCUGACAUAAGGAUUCCUGGUUCAGGUCUUGCCCACAGCAGCCC
rnacentral:lncRNA from 1 species